rnacentral:rRNA from 1 species
UACGUAGGGUCCGAGCGUUGUCCGGAAUUACUGGGCGUAAAGAGCUCGUAGGCGGUCUGUCGCGUCGGCUGUGAAAACCCGCGGCUCAACUGCGGGCCUGCAGCCGAUACGGGCAGGCUAGAGUUCGGUAGGGGAGACUGGAAUUCCUGGUGUAGCGGUGAAAUGCGCAGAUAUCAGGAGGAACACCGGUGGCGAAGGCGGGUCUCUGGGCCUUACCUGACGCUGAGGAGCGAAAGCCAGGGGAGCAAACGGG